GAUAAACGCUGGCGGCGUGCAUAACACAUGCAAGUCGAACGAUGAAGCUUAGAUGAUUUCUUCGGAAUGAACUUAAGUGGAUUAGUGGCGAACGGGUGAGUAACACGUGAGUAGCCUGCCUUAUACAAGGGGAUAGCCUCUGGAAACGGAGAAUAAUACCCUAUAAAGUCUAAUCAGCACAUGCUGGAAAGACCAAAGAUUUAUCGGUGUAAGAUGGACUUGCGUCUGAUUAGCUAGUUGGUGAGAUAAAAGCUCACCAAGGCGACGAUCAGUAGCCGGCUUGAGAGAGUGUACGGCCACAUUGGGACUGAGACACGGCCCAAACUCCUACGGGAGGCAGCAGUGGGGAAUAUUGCACAAUGGAGGGAACUCUGAUGCAGCGACGCCGCGUGAACGAUGAAGGCUUUCGAGUCGUAAAGUUCUUUUAUAUGGGAAGAUAAUGACGGUACCAUAAGAAAAAGCCCCGGCUAACUACGUGCCAGCCGCCGCGGUAA
rnacentral:rRNA from 2 species